GGGGAUGCAUCUCAAUGGAGAAUGCUUGUGUAGCAAGCAUGAGGUCCUGGGUUCAAUUCCCAGUACUGUCCCCA
rnacentral:tRNA from 1 species